CCUACGGGAGACAGCAGUGAGGAAUAUUGGUCAAUGGGCGCGAGCCUGAACCAGCCAAGUAGCGUGAAGGAUGACUGCCCUACGGGUUGUAAACUUCUUUUAUAAAGGAAUAAAGUGAGUCACGUGUGCCUUUUUGUAUGUACUUUAUGAAUAAGGAUCGGCUAACUCCGUGCCAGCAGCCGCGGUAAUACGGAGGAUCCGAGCGUUAUCCGGAUUUAUUGGGUUUAAAGGGAGCGUAGGUGGGUUGUUAAGUCAGUUGUGAAAGUUCGCGGCUCAACCGUAAAAUUGCCUUUGAUACUGGCAGUCUUGAGUACAGUUGAGGUAGGCGGAAUGCGUGGUGUAGCGGUGAAAUGCUUAGAGAUCACGCAGAACCCCGAUUGCGAAGGCAGCUUACCAACCUGUGACUGACAUUGAUGCACGAAAGUGUGGGUAUCAAACAGGAUUAGAUACCCCUGUAGUC
rnacentral:rRNA from 1 species